GGAGGGGCACUCGGCGACCCGGCAGCUCUGGCUGGAUGCCGGUCUGGAGCGCUGGGAGCAGCCGCUCUCCAGCGGGCUCCGUCUGUCUCCGACCUGGCAGAACACCUCCCGUCGCUGGACGCCGUCGCCGCACGAUGCCGAGCACUAGAAACAGGACAGGAGAGAGGUUAAAAGGAGCGGGAAGUGAUAAACAGCUCCAGAUGAUCCGGCCGAGGUGACAUCAGAUAACUGAAUGUGUUCCAGAGGUUCACCAUCUCAAGGCCGACUGUCCAGGGCAGAGACACACAUCCUCUCUGACGUAUGGAGCGCAGAUGUGCCCGAGUGCUCAGACUCUUGGCCGGUGAGGCGGAUUCGGAGAAAGAGGCCACGAGAAAAAGAGAGAGGUACCAGACAUCCCAGGUGUGCGUUGUAAGUGUGUCUGGCGUGGUGACGUUAGCGGACUGCCUCUUCAGUAGGGCACUCAAAGAAAAGAUUAACAUGUGGUUCCCAUUGGGGAGCAAAAAGUGAAAAAUGCUCGAAAGAAAAAUGUGAUGAGUGGAGGAAAGAGCAACAGUGAGAAGGAGGAUAAAAGGGACAGAGAGGAGAGAAAAGUGAGGGCCGGAGGAAGAGAAAAUGUAGAGAUGAGAGGUGUGGAUUUACUCUGGCUGGACUCAACAUCAGUUAGGCUUAGAUCAAAGAGGGGGAGUGCAUGUCCGUCCUGCUGUUACAGUUUGUGUUCUGUGAAGUCGCAGCCCCGGCGUACACUACCUCAAAACCCCUGUUAGCAGCCAUCCCAGGCCUCUGCUGCAACCCGGCAAACCACCACGAGAUGUGUAAAAAGCACCCUGCCUGAGUUAGUGGCCUGGCAUGGCACAUAAACACUGUCAGGUUUAGUUGCAGAUGUUCUCACACAUAUGCACAUAUUUGCAAGCAGGCUGGUAAGCA